CCCCUAGAUGUUCUGGGCCGCACGCGCGCUACACUGAACAGUUCAACAAGUCUUAACCUUGGCCGAUAGGUCUGGGUAAUCUUUGAACGCUGUUCGUGAUUGGGAUAGACCUUUGCAAUUAUGGGUCUUCAACGAGGAAUUCCUAGUAAACGCAAGUCAUCAGCUUGCAUUGAUUACGUCCCUGCCCUUUGUACACACCGCCCGUCGCACCUACCGAUUGAAUGGUCCGGUGAAAUCUCGGGACGGCGGCUUGGUCGCUUGCGUCCGACUGCUGAAACUUGAUUAAACCAUAUCAUCUAGAGGAAGGUGAANUCGUAACA
rnacentral:rRNA from 1 species